rnacentral:ncRNA from 1 species
ACUUCCUCGGGCGCGUUUAUAGCGACGUUGCUUUUUGAUCCUUCGAUGUCGGCUCUUCCUAUCAUACUGAAGCAGAAUUCAGUAGGCGUUGGUUUGUUCACCCACUAAUAGGGAACAUGAGCUGGAUUUAAACCGUCGUGAGACAGGUU